GAAUUUUCUGUCAUCAUUAAAAAGCAGAAGGAGAUAAUUAAAAAACUGAUUGAAAGAAAACAGGCACAAAUUCGAAAAGUUUACCCUGGACUUUCAUGUUUUAAAGAUGGAGUUCGACAGAUUCCUAUAGAAAGCAUUCCUGGAAUUAGAGAGACAGGCUGGAAACCGAGUGGAAAAGAGAAAAGUAAAGAGCCCAGAGACCCUGACCAGCUUUACAGCACGCUCAAGAGCAUCCUCCAGCAGGUGAAGGUGGGUGUCCUCUUUAUUCACCUCAUGCAAAUAUUUUGAAAUGAUUUCCCACAUGGAAUUUCCAUAUUAGAUACCUUACUUUUUUCUUUACCCAAGAGCCAUCAAAGCGCUUGGCCCUUCAUGGAACCUGUGAAGAGAACAGAAGCUCCAGGAUAUUAUGAAGUUAUAAGGUUCCCCAUGGGUAAUACCAUUAACAUUUUCUAAGUAUAGAUUUAAAACUCUGGAUGGCGGUGUGGGGGACAAAUGGUUGCUGAGGUUGAUUUGUACUCCUCUGCUUAGGGUAGGAAGUGUAUGACGGGUGGUGGGAUUCCAUGCACCGUGGCGGGUCAGUGAUGGCAGAGAAGUGGGUGGCUGUGUUCAUUAGAGACAUUCUGCAGCUGUCGUUUAGAGCCCACAUGAGCUUAACGACACUAGACGCAGAAAAUCCACGGUAACUGCAGACAGCACUAGAUUUGAAAGCUGGCACUUUAGAUAUAACUUUGCUUAUAUUCUAACUCUUUGGUGCAAAUAGAAAAACAUCAGCUUAUCCUCUUGAUAUGCUUUGCGUCUGUCGUAAAUAGGUAUUCCUUUGAAUAAUUAUUCAGGAUAAUAAUGAAAGAAGUUAGAUUAAAGUACUUGACUGCUGUACUUUCAGAGGGAGAAAUUCUACUUACCACAAUUCUUGAUUUUCCAUGCCCUUGAUGGGUACUGUUAAUGUCACUGUAUAUACUCUUUAUUUUACGCUUUGUCUCAUAUCCAAAAUCAAACAAAAAAGGAUGUCUUCAGAAAUGUAGAAUUGUGCAGUUUGGUGCUGUGCCCACACCACUCUAAAAUUAAUGAUUAAUUGAAUCAUUUGAGGUCGCUCAAAUUAAACUAAUUUGGCAUUGUGUGGGUGACAACCAGUUGAAAUGUUUUCUUUUUAUCAGCUAUGUGGCCAUAUUUUUGGAGAGAGCCAGAGUCUUCUGUCUCUUUUCUACCUGUAAUCUAUUCCAGGUGCUAAGAACUGUGAAAGUCCAGCUUGGGUAAUGUAGUGAGACCCUGUCUCUACAAAAAGUAAAAAAUUAGCCAGGUGCAGUGGCACACGCCUGAGGCCCCAGCUACUUGGGAGGCUGAGGUUGGAGGAUCACUUGAGCCUGGGAGUUUGAGGCUGUAGUGAGCUGUGAUUGCACCACUGCACUUCAGCCUGGGCACUGGAGGGAGACC
rnacentral:lncRNA from 1 species